CUGCAGGAAAAAAGAAAACUUCAGAGGCGCUGGGAUUACAGAUUCAGGGGUCCAGAGUUCUUAUGGGGAGGAGAGGAAGCAUUCAUCAGCGAGGGCGUGGUCACCUGUGAUCCUCCACAAUGAUUGCUCCCUGAUCCUCUGACAUCUCCUUUUACACCCAGAAGCUGGAAGCUUUUGGAGAGCAACUAACUCUGUCAUCUGCCCCAGCUGCCAUGAACUGAGCAGCUUUCCUCCUCCAGGCCCCUCUGCCAUGAAGUUCUGCCUCACUGCAAGCCCAGAGUGAUGGAGUCAGUGGGCCAUGCACCAGACCUCUUCAAUCACAAGCCAAAAUAAA